AAGUUACUCCCUCCGAUCCAUAUUAAUUGUUUCAAAUUUGCCCAAAUAUGAAUAUAUCUACGCUUAAAAAACGUCUAGAUACAUGUAAUAUUUUUACAAUUAAUAUGGAUCGGAGGGAGUAACUG
rfam:Brachypodium distachyon strain Bd21 chromosome 1, whole genome shotgun sequence.